GACGAACGCUGGCGGCGUGCCUAAUACAUGCAAGUAGAACGCUGAAGGAGGAGCUUGCUUCUCCGGAUGAGUUGCGAACGGGUGAGUAACGCGUAGGUAACCUGCCUGGUAGCGGGGGAUAACUAUUGGAAACGAUAGCUAAUACCGCAUAACAGUAGAUAUUGCAUGAUAUCUGCUUGAAAGGUGCAAUUGCAUCACUACCAGAUGGACCUGCGUUGUAUUAGCUAGUUGGUGAGGUAACGGCUCACCAAGGCGACGAUACAUAGCCGACCUGAGAGGGUGAUCGGCCACACUGGGACUGAGACACGGCCCAGACUCCUACGGGAGGCAGCGGUAGGGAAUCUUCGGCAAUGGACGGAAGUCUGACCGAGCAACGCCGCGUGAGUGAAGAAGGGUUUCGGAUCGUAAAGCUCUGUUGUAAGAGAAGAACGAGUGUGAGAGUGGAAAGUUCACACUGUGACGGUAUCUUACCAGAAAGGGACGGCUAACUACGUG
rnacentral:rRNA from 1 species